GAGGCGGUGGAGCAUGUGGUUUAAUUCGAAGCAACGCGCAGAACCUUACCAGCCCUUGACAUGUCCAGGACCGGUCGCAGAGAUGUGACCCUCUCUUCGGAGCCAGGAGCACAGGUGCUGCAUGGCUGUCGUCAGCUCGUGUCGAGAGAUGUUGGGUUAAGUCCCGCAACGAGCGCAACCCCCGUCCUUAGUUGCUACCAUUUAGUUGACCACUCUAGGGAGAGUGCCGGGGAUAAGCCGCGAGGAAGGUGGGGAUGACGUCAAGUCCUCAUGGCCCUUACGGGCUGGGCUACACACGUGCUACAAUGGCGGUGACAAUGGGAUGCUAAGGGGCGACCCUUCGCAAAUCUCAAAAAGCCGUCUCAGUUCGGAUUGGGCUCUGCAACUCGAGCCCAUGAAGUUGGAAUCGCUAGUAAUCGUGGAUCAGCACGCCGCGGUGAAUACGUUCCCGGGCCUUGUACACACCGCCCGUCACACCAU
rnacentral:rRNA from 1 species